AUGACCAUGAGGGUCCAUGUGAGCAGCAGCAGAUGCUUCGUCCCCAUCGUGUCCCUCAUGCUCCUCGCUGCUCUUCUUGCGGCUUCCAACCUGCUCCACACCACCUUCCCACACCCCUGGCGCGCGUUUUCUUCUCAUCUUCACACACGAUCACGACCAGGCGAGGGCGGGGGCUGUGACAUCUUCACGGGCGACUGGGUGCCCGACCCGGACGCGCCCUACUACACCAACGACACCUGCUCGGUCAUCCACGAGCACUACGACUGCAUGAGGUUCGGCAAGCCGGACCUCGGCUUCGUCAACUGGCGGUGGCGGCCCGACGGCGACGGCUGCGACCUGCCCCGCUUCGACCCGGCCCGCUUCCUCGCCCUGAUGAGGGGCAAGACCAUCGCCUUCGUCGGGGACUCCCUCGCCAGGAACCACAAGGACUCCCUCAUCUGCCUCCUCACCAGAGUGCACGUGCAGGUCGCGGAGCCCACGACGAGCUGGCCGAGCAGCAAGCACUCGGUGUACCACUACGGCGAGUACAACUUCACCGUGGCCAGCUUCUGGGCGCCCUACCUGGUCCGGCACGAGCAGAUCGACGACGACGGGCCGGCGCACACGGGCCUGUGGAACCUCCACCUCGACGAGGCGGAGGACGUGUGGGCGGCGCGCAUCCCGGAGCUCGACUACGUCGUCGUGUCGGCGUCCAGCUGGUUCUACCGCCCGUCCAUGCUGUACGAGGCCGGCCGGCUCGUCGGCUGCCACUACUGCCAGCUGCCCAACGUCACGGACCUCACGCCGCGGUACGCACUGCGCAUGGCCACGCGGGCCGCGCUGGGGGCGCUGUCCGGCGCCGACGGCCGGUUCCGCGGCACGGCGCUGCUGCGCACCGUGGACCCGUCGCAGUACGAGGGCGGGCAGUGGAACAGCGAGGACGGGAACUGCGUGCGGACGGCGCCGUCCCGGCGCGGCGGGAGGAGGGUCGAGGGCUUCGAGCGCGACUUCCGCGAGCUGCAGCGGGAGGAGUUUGCGGCGGCGGUGGAGAGGGCGGCGGCGACGGGCAAUGUCAGGAUGAUGCUGAUGGACACGACGGAGGCGAUGAUACUGCGGGCGGACGCGCAUCCCAGCAAGUACCGGGGCUGGACGCCGGAGAAGCACUUCACCCUGUACAACGACUGCGUGCACUGGUGCCUGCCGGGGGCCAUCGAUACAUGGAACGACAUGCUUCUCCAUAUGCUCAACUCUACAUAA
rnacentral:rRNA from 1 species